AUUGAACGCUGGCGGCAGGCCUAACACAUGCAAGUCGAGCGGAGCGGCGGACGGGUGAGUAAUGCCUAGGAAUCUGCCUGGUAGUGGGGGAUAACGUCCGGAAACGGGAGCUAAUACCGCAUACUAUCAGAUGAGACUAGGUCGGAUUAGCUAGUUGGGGGGGUAAAGGCCUACCAAGGCGACGAUGCGUAACUGGUCUGAGAGGAUGAGCAGUAACACUGGAAUGGUGACCCGGUCCCGACUCCUACGGGAGGCAGCAGUGAGGAAGCUUGGACAAUGGGCGAAAGCCUGAACCAGCCAAGCCGCGUGUGUGAAGAAGGUCUUCGGAUUGUAAAGCACUUUAAGUUGGGAGGCGUUACCAACAGAAUAAGCACCGGCUAACUUCGUGCCAGCAGCCGCGGUAAUAC
rnacentral:rRNA from 1 species